UCUCAGACUGCAGCAGCACGCACACAGGCCCCACGGGGGCUGGCGGGCUGGCCGCGGUCCCGGGGGGAGUCCCUGUUGGGGUCCUGGCUGCCUGGAGCCAGCAGCGGGCCUCUGGGCCUUGGGAGCUUGCAGCAGAGGGAGCAGAUGGAUUGUAAAAUCCAGGACACGCGGCCCGAGGACCCUAGAUGCCUCUCUAGAGCAUGAGCUCGGGCAAGAACGCCCGCUACAACCGCUUCUCCGGGGGGCCUACCAACCUUCCCACCCCAGACGUUGCAGCUGGGACCAGAAUGGAAACGACCUUUGGGCCUGCCUUUUCGGCUGUUACCACCAUCACAAAAGCUGAUGGGACCAGCACGUACAAACAGCACCGCAGGACGCCAUCCUCCUCCAGCACCCUCGCCUACUCACCGCGGGAUGAGGAGGACAGCAUGCCCCCCAUCAGCACGCCACGCCGCUCUGAUUCGGCCAUCUCCGUCCGCUCCUUGCACUCGGAGUCCAGCAUGUCCCUGCGCUCCACGUUCUCGCUGCCUGAGGAGGAGGAGGAACCGGAGCCGCUGGUGUUUGCCGAGCAGCCCUCGGUGAAGCUGUGUUGUCAGCUUUGCUGCAGUGUGUUCAAGGAUCCCGUGAUCACCACGUGUGGGCACACGUUCUGUCGAAGAUGCGCCCUAAAGUCAGAGAAGUGCCCCGUGGACCACGCCAAGCUGACGGUGGUGGUGAACAACAUUGCGGUGGCUGAGCAGAUCGGGGAGCUCUUCAUCCACUGCAGGCACGGCUGCCGGGUGGCAGGGGGCGGGAAGCCCCCCGUCUUUGAGGUGGACCCCCGAGGGUGCCCGUUCACCAUCAAGCUCAGCGCUCGCAAGGACCACGAGAGCAGCUGUGACUACAGGCCUGUACGAUGUCCUAACAACCCCAGCUGCCCGCCCCUCCUCAAGAUGAACCUGGAGGCCCACCUGAAGGAGUGCGAGCACAUCAAGUGUCCCCACUCCAAGUACGGGUGCACCUUCAUCGGGAACCAGGACACCUAUGAGACGCACCUGGAGACGUGCCGCUUUGAGGGCCUGAAGGAGUUCCUGCAGCAGACAGACGACCGCUUCCACGAGAUGCAUGUGGCGCUGGCCCAGAAGGACCAGGAGAUCGCCUUCCUGCGCUCCAUGCUGGGCAAGCUCUCAGAGAAGAUUGACCAGCUGGAGAAGAGCCUGGAGCUCAAGUUCGAUGUCCUAGAUGAAAACCAGAGCAAGCUCAGCGAGGACCUCAUGGAGUUCCGGAGGGAUGCGUCCAUGUUGAACGAUGAGCUGUCCCACAUCAACGCGCGGCUGAACAUGGGCAUCCUAGGAUCCUACGACCCACAGCAGAUCUUCAAGUGCAAAGGAACCUUCGUGGGCCACCAGGGCCCGGUCUGGUGUCUCUGUGUCUACUCCAUGGGGGACCUGCUCUUCAGCGGCUCCUCUGACAAGACCAUCAAGGUGUGGGACACAUGCACCACCUAUAAGUGUCAGAAGACGCUGGAGGGCCAUGACGGCAUCGUGCUGGCGCUGUGCAUCCAAGGGUGCAAGCUGUACAGUGGCUCGGCGGACUGUACCAUCAUCGUGUGGGACAUCCAGAACCUGCAGAAGGUGAACACGAUCCGGGCCCACGACAACCCGGUGUGCACGCUGGUCUCCUCACACAACAUGCUCUUCAGCGGCUCCCUGAAGGCCAUCAAGGUCUGGGACAUCGUGGGCACUGAACUGAAGCUGAAGAAGGAACUCACAGGUCUCAACCACUGGGUCCGGGCCCUGGUGGCCGCCCAGAGCUACCUGUACAGCGGCUCCUACCAGACAAUCAAGAUCUGGGACAUCCGGACCCUCGACUGCAUCCAUGUCCUGCAGACGUCUGGCGGCAGCGUCUACUCUAUUGCUGUGACGAAUCACCACAUCGUUUGUGGCACCUAUGAGAACCUCAUCCACGUGUGGGACAUCGAGUCCAAGGAGCAGGUGCGGACCCUGACGGGCCACGUUGGCACCGUGUAUGCCCUGGCAGUCAUCUCAACGCCAGACCAGACCAAAGUCUUCAGCGCGUCCUACGACCGGUCUCUCAGGGUCUGGAGUAUGGACAACAUGAUCUGCACGCAGACGCUGCUGCGUCACCAGGGCAGUGUGACUGCGCUGGCUGUGUCCCGGGGCCGGCUCUUCUCAGGAGCUGUGGACAGCACUGUGAAGGUUUGGACAUGCUAACAGAGUGCAGGCCCGUCUUGGCUUCCUCUGCAGCCUCCCAGGCCGGUCCCAUCCAGGCUGGCCACGGGAGGGGUCUGGGGGGGUCCCUGCCUGCCCUGCAGGGACAGGCGGGCAGGCUCACCAGGCCAGGCAGUGCCCUCCCCGCCCUGUGCCCGGCGAGCCUCCCUCUGCUUGGCCUUGUGAUCGUCGCUGCCAGGACAGUGCCCAGCCCCUCUCUCUGGGUGCCAGAAAUGUCAAAGUUGUGCCCAACACACGUGGAUCAGCAAACACAAUAGAGGAGGCCAGUCAGUACUUUUUGGAAAGAAGAGAGAGGAGAGAGAGAGGGCAAGAACGACCACACGACACAGCCUGGGACCAUGAGCAGAAGCGUCCGCGGGAACUUGGAUGGGGGAGGGCCCUGGGGAGGGAGGGUCAGGCACACCCUCACACGUGCCACACGCAGUCUGGCAUGCACACCCUGCACCCACCGCUGUCACCUGGCUGGUGUGCCCACAUUGCACGCACAGCUCCCCCAAAGCCCAGGCGCACCUCCCACCAGCACCCCGGGAGAGCAGGGAGCCCUCCCCACUAGCUCCACGGUGUGGAGGACACAGCCCAGCAGCAAGCAAGGCACAUCCUUCGAGUUCUUCAGACGCAGAGAAGUUAGGAGAAAGAGAGAGAGGGAGGGGAGGCCCUAGCGGAGCAUGGACCCUCCCGGACCCCAGCCUCCUGUUUGUGCUACUGGGCCAGAGGUCCUGGACAGAGGGAGGGAAGGAUGGACAGACAGACGGCCAGGGCCUCUAACAGCUUUUGUCUUGAGCUAGACUUCAGUGUCCUUACAGUUGGUAAAUGGUUUUCUAUAGAAUCAAUAAUAUUUUUUCUUUCUUUAAAUAUAUAUUUGUUAAAGUUA